rnacentral:rRNA from 1 species
GCACGGGUGAGUAACGCGUAUGCAACUUGCCUAUCAGAGGGGGAUAACCCGGCGAAAGUCGGACUAAUACCGCAUGAAGCAGGGAUCCCGCAUGGGAAUAUUUGCUAAAGAUUCAUCGCUGAUAGAUAGGCAUGCGUUCCAUUAGGCAGUUGGCGGGGUAACGGCCCACCAAACCGACGAUGGAUAGGGGUUCUGAGAGGAAGGUCCCCCACAUUGGUACUGAGACACGGACCAAACUCCUACGGGAGGCAGCAGUGAGGAAUAUUGGUCAAUGGCCGAGAGGCUGAACCAGCCAAGUCGCGUGAGGGAUGAAGGUUCUAUGGAUCGUAAACCUCUUUUAUAAGGGAAUAAAGUGCGGGACGUGUCCCGUUUUGUAUGUACCUUAUGAAUAAGGAUCGGCUAACUCCGUGCCAGCAGCCGCGGUAAUACGGAGGAUCCGAGCGUUAUCCGGAUUUAUUGGGUUUAAAGGGUGCGUAGGCGGCCUUUUAAGUCAGCGGUGAAAGUCUGUGGCUCAACCAUAGAAUUGCCGUUGAAACUGGGAGGCUUGAGUAUGUUUGAGGCAGGCGGAAUGCGUGGUGUAGCGGUGAAAUGCUUAGAUAUCACGCAG